GACCUGCGGAAGGAUCAUUACCGAGUUCUCGGGCUUCGGCUCGAAUCUCCCACCCUUUGUGAACAUACCUCUGUUGCUUUGGCGGCUCUUUGCCGCGAGGAGGCCCUCGCGGGCCCCCCCGCGCGCUUUCCGCCAGAGGACCUUCAAACUCCAGUCAGUAAACGUCGACGUCUGAUAAACAAGUUAAUAAACUAAAACUUUCAACAACGGAUCUCUUGGUUCUGGCAUCGAUGAAGAACGCAGCGAAAUGCGAUAAGUAAUGUGAAUUGCAGAAUUCAGUGAAUCAUCGAAUCUUUGAACGCACAUUGCGCCCCUUGGCAUUCCGAGGGGCAUGCCUGUUCGAGCGUCAUUACAACCCUCAAGCUCUGCUUGGUAUUGGGCGCCGUCCUCUCUGCGGACGCGCCUUAAAGACCUCGGCGGUGGCUGUUCAGCCCUCAAGCGUAGUAGAAUACACCUCGCUUUGGAGCGGUUGGCGUCGCCCGCCGGACGAACCUUCUGAACUUUUCUCAAGGUGACCUCGGAUCAGGUAGCAGCCCAUC
rnacentral:rRNA from 1 species